CCCUUAGAUGUUCUGGGCUGCACACGUGCUACACUGGCAGGUUCAGCGAGCUUCAUGCCCUGAUCUGAAAGGAAUGGGAAAUCUUUUCAAAACCUGCCGUGCUUGGGAUAGAUGUUUGCAAUUAUUCAUCUUCAACGAGGAUUGCCUUGUAAGCGCACGUCAUCAGCGUGCAUUGAAUACGACCCUGUAUUCUGUACACACCGCCCGUCGCUCCUACCGAUUGAAGUUUUCGGUGGGUUGACAGGAGGAUUUUUUUGAAACUGGUUCGCCAGUGGAUUUUAGAUCCAAAUGCCAACGAAUCGAUGGCUUUAGAGGAAGGAGAAGUCGUAACA
rnacentral:rRNA from 1 species